AGGGUUCGAUUAUGGCUCAGAACGUACGCUGGCGGCACGCCUAACACAUGCAAGUCGAACGAAGUAGCAAUACUUAGUGGCAGACGGGUGAGUAACAUGUAGGUAUCUGCCCUUUGGCCUGGAAUAACACGAGGAAACUUGUGCUAAUACCGGAUAAGUCUUUACGGAGAAAGCUUUAUGCACCAUUGGAUGAGCCUGCACUUGAUUAGUUUGUUGGUGGGGUAAUGGCCUACCAAGACUGUGAUCAAUAGCUGAUUUGAGAGGAUGAUCAGCCACAUUGGGACUGAGACACGGCCCAAACUCCUACGGGAGGCAGCAGUGGGGAAUCUUGCACAAUGGAGGAAACUCUGAUGCAGCGAUGCCGCGUGAGUGAAGAAGGCCCUUGGGUUGUAAAGCUCUUUCGUCGGGGAAGAAAAUGACUGUACCCGAAUAAGAAGGUCCGGCUAACUUCGUGCCAGCAGCCGCGGUAAUACGAAGGGACCUAGCGUAGUUCGGAAUUACUGGGCUUAAAGAGUUCGUAGGUGGUUGAAAAAGUUGGUGGUGAAAUCCCAGAGCUUAACCCUGGAACUGCCAUCAAAACUUUUCAGCUAGAGUAUGAUAGAGGAAAGCAGAAUUUCUAGUGUAGAGGUGAAAUUCGUAGAUAUUAGAAAGAAUACCAAUUGCGAARGCAGCUUUCUGGAUCAUUACUGACACUGAGGAACGAAAGCAUGGGUAGCGAAGAGGAUUAGAUACCCUCGUAGUCCAUGCCGUAAACGAUGUGUGUUAGACGUUGGAAAUUUAUUUUCAGUGUCGCAGCGAAAGCGAUAAACACACCGCCUGGGGAGUACGACCGCAAGGUUAAAACUCAAAUGAAUUGACGGGGACCCGCACAAGUAGUGGAGCAUGUGGUUUAAUUCGAAGAUACGCGCAGAACCUUACCAACACUUGACAUGUUCGUCGCGACUUUAAGGGAUUAAAGUUUUCGGUUCGGCCGGACGAAACACAGGUGCUGCAUGGCUGUCGUCAGCUCGUGUCGUGAGAUGUUGGGUUAAGUCCCGCAACGAGCGCAACCCUCACUUUUAGUUGCCAUCAUUUAGUUGGGCACUCUGAAAGAACUGCCAGUGAUAAGCUGGAGGAAGGUGGGGAUGACGUCAAGUCCUCAUGGCCCUUACGUGUUGGGCUACACACGUGCUACAAUGGUAUCUACAACAGGAAGCAAGGCGGCGACGUCAAGCAAAUCCUUAAAAGAUACCUCAGUUCGGAUUGCACUCUGCAACUCGAGUGCAUGAAGCUGGAAUUACUAGUAAUCGUGGAUCAGCGUGCCACGGUGAACGCGUUCCCGGGUCUUGUACACACCGCCCGUCACACCAUGGGAGUUGGUUCUACCUUAAGGCAAGGUUUAAAACCCUUGACCACGGUAUAGUCAGCGACUGGGGUGAAGUCGUAACAAGGUAGCC
rnacentral:rRNA from 1 species